CCUACGGGAGGCAGCAGUCGGGAAUAUUGCGCAAUGGACGCAACUCUGACGCAGCGACGCAGCGUGCAGGAAGAAGGUUUUCGGAUUGGAAACUUCUUUAGACAGGGAAGAAAAAAGACAGUACCUGUAGAAUAAGCUCCGGCUAACUACGUGCCAGCAGCCGCGGUAAUACGUAGGGGGCCAGCGUUAUCAGGAUUUAUUGGGUGUAAAGGGUGCGUAGAUGGGGAAGCAAGUUAGUUGUGAAAUCCCUCGGCUUAACUGAGGAACGGCAACUAAAACUACUUCCCUUGAGUACUGGAGAGGAAAGUGGAAUUCCUGGUGUAGCGGUGAAAUGCGUAGAUAUUAGGAGGAACACCAGUGGCGAAGGCGACUUUCUGGACUGUAACUGACGCUGAGGCUCGAAAGCGUGGGGAGCAAACAGGAUUAGAUACCCCGGUAGUC
rnacentral:rRNA from 1 species